rnacentral:lncRNA from 1 species
GUUAACACAGGAUAGCGGCAUGUCCANGAGGGCACUUUGAAAGUAUUGACUUGGGCCUCCUAUACACAGGUGCAAGGGGGAGCUAGCUGGAGAGGCAAGGUGAUUCAGGCACAGCCUGGCCAUCCCAGGAGUCUGGCCACUUCUCCAGUCAACCUGGCAGGAAAACUUGCCACAGGGAAGAAGAAAAACUUUGCUGAACUGCUUAAUCUAUUAAGACAUUUAUGGUCAGAAGAAUGGCCGCAAAGCUAAUUUUCCUGCAGACACACUCAGA